UAGAGUUUGAUCAUGGCUCAGAUUGAACGCUGGCGGCAUGCUUUACACAUGCAAGUCGAACGGCAGCACGGGUGCUUGCACCUGGUGGCGAGUGGCGGACGGGUGAGUAAUGCAUCGGAACGUGUCCUGAAGUGGGGGAUAACGCAUCGAAAGAUGUGCUAAUACCGCAUAUUCUCUGAGGAGGAAAGUAGGGGAUCGAAAGACCUUAUGCUUUUGGAGCGGCCGAUGUCUGAUUAGCUAGUUGGUAGGGUAAUGGCUUACCAAGGCGACGAUCAGUAGUUGGUCUGAGAGGACGACCAGCCACACUGGGACUGAGACACGGCCCAGACUCCUACGGGAGGCAGCAGUGGGGAAUUUUGGACAAUGGGCGCAAGCCUGAUCCAGCAAUGCCGCGUGAGUGAAGAAGGCCUUCGGGUUGUAAAGCUCUUUCAGUUGAGAAGAAAAAGUCGUGACUAAUAAUCAUGAUUCAUGACGGUAUCAACAGAAGAAGCACCGGCUAACUACGUGCCAGCAGCCGCGGUAAUA
rnacentral:rRNA from 1 species